UAGGGAAUCUUCCGCAAUGGACGCAAGUCUGACGGAGCAACGCCGCGUGAGUGAAGAAGGAUUUCGGUUCGUAAAACUCUGUUGUUAGAGAAGAACAGCGCAUAGAGUAACUGUUAUGCGUGUGACGGUAUCUAACCAGAAAGCCACGGCUAACUACGUGCCAGCAGCCGCGGUAAUACGUAGGUGGCAAGCGUUGUCCGGAUUUAUUGUGCGUAAAGCGAGCGCAGGCGGUCAAUUAAGUCUGAUGUGAAAGCCCCCGGCUCAACCGGGGAGGGUCAUUGGAAACUGGUUGACUUGAGUGCAGAAGAGGAGAGUGGAAUUCCAUGUGUAGCGGUGAAAUGCGUAGAUAUAUGGAGGAACACCAGUGGCGAAGGCGACUCUCUGGUCUGUAACUGACGCUGAGGCUCGAAAGCGUGGGUAGCAAACAGG
rnacentral:rRNA from 1 species